UUGGAGGGCAAGUCUGGUGCCCGCAGCCGCGGUAAUUCCAGCUCCAAUAGCGUAUAUUAAAGUUGUUGCAGCUAAAAAGCUCGUAGUUGAAUUUCGAGACCGGUUUACUGGUCGUGCUUUUGUACGUACUGGUAUUAUUGGUUUCUCCUUUCUGACGAAUCUUAAUGCCAUUAAUUUGGUGUUUUGGGGAAUCAGGACUGUUACUUUGAAAAAAUUAGAGUGUUUAAAGCAGGCUCACGCUUGAAUACAUUAGCAUGGAAUAACGAAAUAGGACGUUUGAUUUUAUUUUGUUGGUUUCUAGGAUCGACGUAAUGAUUAAUAGGGAUAGUUGGGGCAUUAGUAUUCAAUUGUCAGAGGUGAAAUUCUUGGAUUUAUUGAAGACUAACUACUGCGAAAGCAUUUGCCAAGGAUGUUUUCAUUAAUCAAGAACGAAAGUUAGGGGAUCGAAGACGAUCAGAUACCGUCGUAGUCUUAACCAUAAACUAUGCCGACUAGGGAUCGGAUGAUGUUAAUUUUUUAAUGACUCAUUCGGCGCCUUACGGGAAAC
rnacentral:rRNA from 1 species